rnacentral:rRNA from 1 species
UACGUAGGGCGCAAGCGUUGUCCGGAAUUAUUGGGCGUAAAGAGCUCGUAGGCGGUUUGUCGCGUCUGCUGUGAAAACUCGAGGCUCAACCUCGGGCUUGCAGUGGGUACGGGCAGACUAGAGUGCGGUAGGGGGAGACUGGAAUUCCUGGUGUAGCGGUGGAAUGCGCAGAUAUCAGGAGGAACACCGAUGGCGAAGGCAGGUCUCUGGGCCGCAACUGACGCU